rnacentral:rRNA from 1 species
CAGUAGCCGCGGUAAUACGGAGGGGGCUAGCGUUGUUCGGAAUUACUGGGCGUAAAGCGCACGUAAGCGGCUUGGUAAGUUAGAGGUGAAAGCCCGGAGCUCAACUCCGGAAUUGCCUUUAAGACUGCCGAGCUAGUAGGUGAGAGAGGUAAGUGGAAUUCCGAGUGUAGAGGUGAAAUUCGUAGAUAUUCGGAAGAACACCAGUGGCGAAGGCGGCUUACUGGCUCAUUCUAGACGCUGAGGUGCGAAAGCGUGGGGAGCAAACAGGAUUAGAUACCCCUGUAGUCCCUGUCUCUUAUAA